ensembl:snRNA U6 U6 spliceosomal RNA
GUGCUUGUUUUGGCAGUACGUAUACUAAAAUUGGAUUAUAUAGAGAAGAUUAGCAUGGCACCUGCACAAGUAUAACAUGCAAAUUUGUGAAGUAUUUCAUGUUUUC